rnacentral:rRNA from 1 species
AGUGAACGCUGGCGGCAGGCCUAACACAUGCAAGUCGAGCGGCAGCGCGGGGGCAACCCUGGCGGCGAGCGGCGGACGGGUGAGGAAUUCGUCGGAAUCUGCCUUUUUGUGGGGGAUAACGUAGGGAAACUUACGCUAAUACCGCAUACGUCCUACGGGAGAAAGUGGGGGACCGCAAGGCCUCACGCAGAAAGAUGAGCUGACGACCGAUUAGCUAGUUGGUGGGGUAAAGGCCCACCAAGGCGACGAUCGGUAGCUGGUCUGAGAGGAUGAUCAGCCACACUGGGACUGAGACACGGCCCAGACUCCUACGGGAGGCAGCAGUGGGGAAUAUUGGACAAUGGGCGCAAGCCUGAUCCAGCCAUGCCGCGUGUGUGAAGAAGGCCUUCGGGUUGUAAAGCACUUUUGUCCGGAAAGAAAUCCCUGGAGCUAAUACCUUCGGGGGAUGACGGUACCGGAAGAAUAAGCACCGGCUAACUUCGUG